UUACUACUCCCUCCGUCCGAAAAUACUUGUCAUCAAAAUGAACAAAAGGGGAUGUAUCUAGACGUUCUAGAUACAUCCCCUUUUGUUCAUUUUGAUGACAAGUAUUUCUGGACGGAGGGAGUAUUAG
rnacentral:pre_miRNA from 1 species